UGGGGAAUCUUGCACAAUGGGGGAAACCCUGAUGCAGCGACGCCGCGUGAACGAUGAAGCCCUUCGGGGUGUAAAGUUCUUUCGGCAGGGACGAUAAUGACGGUACCUGCAGAAGCAGCUGCGGCUAACUACGUGCCAGCAGCCGCGGUAAUACGUAGGCAGCAAGCGUUGUUCGGAAUUACUGGGCGUAAAGAGUGCGUAGGCGGUUGGCUAAGUUUGAUGUGAAAUCUCCCGGCUUAACUGGGAGGGUGCGUCGAAAACUGGUCAGCUAGAGUGCGGGAGAGGAUAGUGGAAUUCCUGGUGUAGCGGUGAAAUGCGUAGAUAUCAGGAGGAACACCUGAGGUGUAGACGGCUAUCUGGACCGUAACUGACGCUGAGGCGCGAAAGCGUGGGGAGCAAACA
rnacentral:rRNA from 1 species